UACAGAGGGGGCAAGCGUUGUUCGGAAUUACUGGGCGUAAAGGGCGCGUAGGCGGCCCGCUAAGUCGAACGUGAAAUCCCCGAGCUCAACUCGGGAACUGCGUCCGAUACUGGUGGGCUUGAAUCCGGGAGAGGGAUGCGGAAUUCCAGGUGUAGCGGUGAAAUGCGUAGAUAUCUGGAGGAACACCGGUGGCGAAGGCGGGUCUCUGGGCCGAAACUGACGCUGAGGAGCGAAAGCGUGGGGAGCAAACAGG
rnacentral:rRNA from 1 species